AACGAACGCUGGCGGCAGGCCUAACACAUGCAAGUCGAGAGGACCCUUCGGGGUUAGCGGCGGACGGGUGAGUAACGCGUGGGAAUAUGCCCUUCUCUACGGAAUAGUCCUGGGAAACUGGGGGUAAUACCGUAUACGCCCUUUGGGGGAAAGAUUUAUCGGGGAAGGAUUAGCCCGCGUUGGAUUAGGUAGUUGGUGGGGUAAUGGCCUACCAAGCCGACGAUCCAUAGCUGGUUUGAGAGGAUGAUCAGCCACACUGGGACUGAGACACGGCCCAGACUCCUACGGGAGGCAGCAGUGGGGAAUCUUAGACAAUGGGGGCAACCCUGAUCUAGCCAUGCCGCGUGGGUGAUGAAGGCCUUAGGGUUGUAAAGCUCUUUCAGCUGGGAAGAUAAUGACGGUACCAGCAGAAGAAGCCCCGGCUAACUCCGUG
rnacentral:rRNA from 1 species